AACGAACGCUGGCGGCAUGCCUAACACAUGCAAGUCGAACGAGACCUUCGGGUCUAGGGGCGCACGGGUUCGUAACGCGUGGGAACCUGCCCUUAGGGUCGGAAUAACUCCCCGAAAGGGGUGCUAAUACCGGAUAAUGUCUUCGGACCAAAGAUUUAUCGCCUUUGGAUGGGCCCGAGUUGGAUUAGCUAGUUGGUAGGGUAAAAGCAUACCAAGGCGACGAUCCAUAGCUGGUCUGAGAGGAUGAUCAGCCACACUGGGACUGAGACACGGCCCAGACUCCUACGGGAGGCAGCAGUGGGGAAUAUUGGACAAUGGGCGAAAGCCUGAUCCAGCAAUGACGCGUGAGUGAUGAAGGCCUUAGGGUUGUAAAGCUCUUUUACCCGGGAUGAUAAUGACAGUACCGGGAGAAUAAGCCCCGGCUAACUCCGUG
rnacentral:rRNA from 1 species